rnacentral:rRNA from 1 species
UCGGGAAUUUUGGGCAAUGGGCGAAAGCCUGACCCAGCAACGCCGCGUGAAGGAUGAAGUAUUUCGGUAUGUAAACUUCGAAAGAAUAGGAAGAAUAAAUGACGGUACUAUUUAUAAGGUCCGGCUAACUACGUGCCAGCAGCCGCGGUAAUACGUAGGGACCAAGCGUUGUUCGGAUUUACUGGGCGUAAAGGGCGCGUAGGCGGCUUGACAAGUCACUUGUGAAAUCUCUGGGCUUAACCCAGAACGGCCAAGUGAAACUGUCAUGCUAGAGUGCAGAAGGGGCAAUCGGAAUUCUUGGUGUAGCGGUGAAAUGCGUAGAUAUCAAGAGGAACACCUGAGGUGAAGACGGGUUGCUGGGCUGACACUGACGCUGAGGCGCGAAAGCCAGGGGAGCAAACGGGAUUAGAUACCCUCGUAGUCCCUGAGCGGGCUGGCAAGGCGCAU